rnacentral:rRNA from 1 species
CCUACGGGAGGCAGCAGUAAGGAAUAUUGGUCAAUGGACGAAAGUCUGAACCAGCCAUGCCGCGUGAAGGAUGAAGGCCCUCUGGGUUGUAAACUUCUUUUAUAGGGGACGAAAAAAGGGCAUUCUUGCUCACUUGACGGUACCCUAGGAAUAAGCACCGGCUAACUCCGUGCCAGCAGCCGCGGUAAUACGGAGGGCGCAAGCGUUAUCCGGAUUUACUGGGUUUAAAGGGUGCGUAGGUGGGUUGGUAAGUCAGCGGUGAAAUCUUCGAGCUUAACUCGGAAACUGCCAUUGAUACUAUCAAUCUUGAAUCAUCUAGAGGUAAGCGGAAUAUGUCAUGUAGCGGUGAAAUGCUUAGAUAUGACAUAGAACACCAAUUGCGAAGGCAGCUUACUAUGGAUGUAUUGACACUGAGGCACGAAAGCGUGGGGAUCAAACAGGAUUAGAUACCCUGGUAGUCCACGCCCUAAACUAUGGAUACUCGACAUUUGCGAUAUACUGUAAGUGUCUGNGNGAAGANAUAGUAUCCACCGCGGAGUAAGUAGUCGCGAGAGUUAGUUAACGUACGAAGAAGUUAGAGGCGNGAGAGNGCGACGGACGACGACGAGGGAGGAGG